CAGGUGAUGCUGAGGAAUACGGGUGAGGCGGAUGGAAGAAAGCAUGGGGGUGACGGGCAUAAUAUAUACCGGUGCCCCCACUCCCCCUUAGACACAGCAUCCCGGGCUCCUCGAUAGAUAAUCUGUAAGGCAACGAGAAGGAUGGAUGGGCAGCCUUUGAGGAGAAGAAAUGAAGACUUUUCAGAUUUUUAAACAUACGGGCAAGACCAGCCUCGACGUCCAGGAUUUCAUACUCGGGUGAUGAGACGAUCAAGAAACACAAGAAAAGUAUCGGCGCGAAAGUCCCAUCCGCGAUCACCUUUCAGAAAUGGGCAAUGGCUCGGUGGACGUGUGCCCAGCUGACUGGACAUAUCUAUUCUCAAAAUGGAAGUUGCUUUAUCAUCCUGGCCACUAAUAGAUUAAAAAUUAUACCUGCACCCUGUAAAAAUUCAGACUUUCAUCAAGGGGUAGAGAAGUGAAAACCACGCAUAAUUCUACCACUCCGAGAAUAUUUUCUUUAAUAAUAAUAAUUCUAUUAUUAUUGUUUUACAUCUGUCUGUAUAUAUAUAUAUAUAUAUAUAUAUAUAUAUAUAUAUGUUUUAAGCAGGCUUUACACCCAGCGCAGAGCCCAAUGCGAAGCUUGAACUCACAACCCUGAGAUCAAGACCUGACCUGACCUGAGUACAUAACCGACUGAGCCACCCAGGUUGCCUGUACAUCAGUAUUUCUCUUCACAUUUAUGAAAAUUAGAUUUAAUCAAGCAUGUCGCUUGUUUAUUGUGGUAAAAUACACGUAACAUAAAAUAUUUAUCAUUUUAGCCAUGUUGAAGUAUACAAUUCAGGGGCAUCAGCUGUAUUCACAUCUAGUGCAAACAAGCUAUGUUUACUCCGAAUUGUUUGGCUUACAUUGAUAACUCGUCAUGUAAAAAAUACAGGCAUGAUUCUUUCAAGGUUCCCUAGCGUUCCAUGGUGGGUCUGGCCCUGGUGUCCCCACUGAUGAACACUUGGGUAUCUCCAAUGUUCUUAGCUGUUAAAAACCAUAUUGUGAUGUACAUUCUUUGGGGCGCCUGGGUGGCGUAGUCGGUUAAGCGUCCGACUUCAGCCAGGUCACGAUCUCGCGGUCCGUGAGUUCGAGCC
rnacentral:lncRNA from 1 species